CGCGGCCAUUUGUCUCUUGCUGCAGCUGGUGCUCCAAAUCUGGUCUUAGCUGCUCCGUGUCUUCUUCUCCAGCCUCUGUGGCCCUGUGACCUGCAGGUAUUGGGAGAUCCACAGCUGAGGGACCCCCAGAAGCCUAGAAAUGGUAUUGUUGUCACUAAGCCAGACCUGAUCACCUGUCUGGAGCAAGGAAAAAAACCUUUCACUGUGAAGAGACAUGAGAUGAUUGCCAAACCCCCAGCGCCGCGCGGUGAGGUUCUCUAGUCCACGCUCGCAGCCAUGCCGUCCAAGGGCCCACUGCAAUCGGUGCAAGUCUUCGGACGCAAGAAUACAGCCACAGCUGUGGCGCACUGCAAACGCGGCAAUGGUCUCAUCAAGGUGAACGGGCAGCCCCCCUGGAGAUGAUUGAGCCGCGCAUGCUGCAAUACGAGCUGCUGGAGCCAGUUCUGCUUCUUGGCAAGGAGCGAUUUGCUGGUGUGGACAUCCGUGUCCGUGUGAAGGGUGGUGCUCAUGUGGCCCAGAUUUAUGCUAUCCGUCAGUCCAUCUCCAAAGCCCUGGUGGCCUAUUACCAGAAAUAUGUGGAUGAGGCUUCCAAGAAGGAGAUCAAAGACAUCCUCAUCCAGUAUGACCGGACCCUGCUGGUAGCUGAUCUCCGUCGCUGCAAGUCCAAAAAGUUUGGAGGCCCUGGUGCCCGUGCUCGCUACCAGAAAUCCUACCGAUAAGCCCAUCAUGACUAUCAAAAUUCACCUGUAUAAUAAACAGUUUUUGAGGGAUUUUAAAAUUUCCAGGAAAAAAAAAGUUCAUUAGCUUUUUAUGAAGGAUUUAUCCUUUUUUUUCAGUGUGCAGUUUAUUGCUGAGAAGUGGCUGCCCUGCCAGAAAACUGCUAUUCUCAGCUGUAACCACAUUGACUAAUAGUGAGUGGAAGUGCAGUGGAUAAAAAGCAAAUGUGUCUUCUCUGUAUCUUUUUUCAUUUAUUGGCUGAAGAACAGGAGGAUGCGGAAGAUGGAAGAAAAUAUAAUCUCUGAAAGAUAAUGAAGAAGCUCUCCUAAAUAGACAAAAACCUCAUAGGGGAUUUUUUUUUCUCAUUUUACUCUCUGCUUCUAUGCGUUUAAAUUUUUUUUUUUUUUUUUGAGACAGUCUCGCUCUGUUGACCAGGCCAGAGUGCAGCGGCAUGAUCUCGACUAACUGCUACCUCCACCUCCUGGGUUCAAGCGAUUCUGCCUCAGCCUUCUGAGUAGCUGGGAUUACAGGUGUGUGCCACCACGCCUGACUAAUUUUUGCAUUUUUAGUUGUGGUGCGUUUUCCUCAUGUUGGUGAGGCUGGUCUCGAGCUCCUAACCGCGUGAUUUGUUCACCUUGGCCUUCCAAAGUGCUGGGAUUACGUGCAUGAGCCCCUGCACCUGAUGGAGUCUCAUUCUGUCGCUCAAGCUGAAGGGCAGUGCCGUGAUCUUGACCCACUGCAACCUCCGCCUCCAAGGUUCAAGCAAUUCUAGUGCCUCAGCAUUCCAAGUAGCUGAGAUUACAGGUGUGCACCACCAAACCCGGCUAAUUUUUGUAUUUUUAAUAGAGGCAGGCUUUCACCAUGUUGACCAGGCUGAUUUGUUUGUAUAUUUCUUUCUUCCUUUCCUUUUUUAUUUCUAGAAGCAUUUUAAUUUUAAAAUAUAAAUUAUGACAUGUAAAAGCCUUCAUUUCUCUGUCUUUGAUUACUAUUAUGGCUGAUGAAAAAAU
rnacentral:sRNA from 1 species